rnacentral:tRNA from 1 species
GGUAAAGUGGCUGAGUUAGGCGAUAAAUUGUAAAUUUAUGAACGAAAUAGGGUUAUUUCUUUUACCA